GAUGAACGCUGGCGGCGUGCCUAAUACAUGCAAGUCGAGCGAACAGACGAGGAGCUUGCUCCUCUGAUGUUAGCGGCGGACGGGUGAGUAACACGUGGAUAACCUACCUAUAAGACUGGGAUAACUUCGGGAAACCGGAGCUAAUACCGGAUAAUAUAUUGAACCGCAUGGUUCAAUAGUGAAAGACGGUUUUGCUGUCACUUAUAGAUGGAUCCGCGCUGCAUUAGCUAGUUGGUAAGGUAACGGCUUACCAAGGCAACGAUGCGUAGCCGACCUGAGAGGGUGAUCGGCCACACUGGAACUGAGACACGGUCCAGACUCCUACGGGAGGCAGCAGUAGGGAAUCUUCCGCAAUGGGCGAAAGCUUGACGGAGCAACGCCGCGUGAGUGAUGAAGGUCUUCGGAUCGUAAAACUCUGUUAUUAGGGAAGAACAAAUGUGUAAGUAACUAUGCACAUCUUGACGGUACCUAAUCAGAAAGCCACGGCUAACUACGUG
rnacentral:rRNA from 1 species